AUUGAACGCUGGCGGCAUGCUUUACACAUGCAAGUCGAACGGUAACAGGCCGCAAGGUGCUGACGAGUGGCGAACGGGUGAGUAAUGCAUCGGAACGUGCCCAGUCGUGGGGGAUAACGCAGCGAAAGCUGCGCUAAUACCGCAUACGAUCUAUGGAUGAAAGCGGGGGACCGUAAGGCCUCGCGCGAUUGGAGCGGCCGAUGUCAGAUUAGGUAGUUGGUGAGGUAAAGGCUCACCAAGCCGACGAUCUGUAGCUGGUCUGAGAGGACGACCAGCCACACUGGGACUGAGACACGGCCCAGACUCCUACGGGAGGCAGCAGUGGGGAAUUUUGGACAAUGGGGGCAACCCUGACCCAGCAAUGCCGCGUGCAGGAAGAAGGCCUUCGGGUUGUAAACUGCUUUUGUACGGAACGAAACGGUCCUGGUUAAUACCUGGGGCUAAUGACGGUACCGUAAGAAUAAGCACCGGCUAACUACGUGCCAGCCGCCGCAGUAACAC
rnacentral:rRNA from 1 species